AGUCAACACAACACAGCACAGCACAGCACAACUACAAAAUGAGAACUUUCUUGGGACUCUUCGCUGUUCUCUUCAUGGCCGUGUGCCUGACGCCCUACUCCGACGCAUGCUGUUGUCAUCACGGCAGUCACCACAGCCACCACAGCAGGCACGGCAUCCCCAUCCCCAUCCCCUACCCCAUGGGCGGCAGCAGCGGCGGCAGCCACUCCGCCAACAUCCCCCUCAUCAUCACAACAACGGGAAAAUAGAAACAUAGAACGCGUUCAACGUCGUUGACGUUGACGUUGACGUCGCGCGACGUCUUCAUAUUGGUUCCAGUCUUUGUCCUCACCCUCCUAUCGCUGUCUAUCUAGCUUCGGCUGAUGUCAAUGCAUUUUGAUGAAUAAAAUCUUGCA